ACAUUGUCGGGCGCAUGUGCAGUGGAUGAGCGCGCGCAGCCUGUCUGUGAAGUUUGUUCAAACUGAAUAAAGAUUUAAUUCAAGUUUGUUUCAACCAAUCAGGAAGUCAACCUGCUCAUCUACCGACAGACAAGGCGAGAGACAGACAGUCACCGACAUCAAGCAGAGACACCGGGACGUCGCCGCGCUCCAAGCCGGGCGAAGGAGCUCGACCGCCGGCAUGAAGAUCGAGUUCGCUCCGAUGAACGUUCCGCUGCGGAGGAGGUUUCAAACUGCGGCGGUUCUUCAGUGGAUGUUCUCCUUCCUGGCUCUGGCUCAGUGCUGCCUGGCAGUGUUUGUCUUGCUGGCUCUCUCUGAUUGGUGGAUGCUGGCCCUGCUGUAUUCUGGUUGGCUGUGGUUGGACUGGGACACGCCCAGCAGUGGAGGUCGGAGGUCACGUUGGGUCAGGAGCUGGGUCGUGUGGGAUUACUUCAGAGAUUACUUUCCAUUAACGCUGAUUAAAACAGUUGAUCUGGAUCCAAGGAAAAACUACAUCUUUGGUUUUCACCCACAUGGUGUUCUGGUGGCUGUGUGGACCUGUCUGUCUCUCAGGUGUUCUGGUGGCUGUGUGGACCUGUCUGUCUCACGGCCUGUCUGUCUCUCAGGUGUUCUGGUGGCGGGGGCGUUUGGUAACUUCUGUACCGAGUCCACAGGAUUCUCUCGUCUGUUUCCUGGUUUGACUUCUCACCUGCUGAUGUUACCGUUCUGGUUCAGAGUCCCUCUGUUCAGAGAAUACAUCAUGAGUGGAGGUCUGGUGUCGAGCUCUAAGUCCAGCCUGUCUCACCUUGUGAGUCGUCCUGAAGGAGGACAUGUUGCUGUCAUCGCAGUGGGCGGAGCUCCAGAGUCUCUGGACGCUCGACCCGGAGCUUUGACGCUGCAGGUGCAAAAACGGAAGGGCUUCAUCAAACUGGCUCUGAGACAUGGGGCUCAGCUGGUUCCAGUUUUUUCUUUUGGAGAAAACGAGUUGUUUGAUCAAAUAAAGAAUCCUUCAGGUUCCAAUCUGAGGACGCUACAGGUCUGGUGUCGAGCUCUAAGUCCAGCCUGUCUCACCUUGUGAGUCGUCCUGAAGGAGGACAUGUUGCUGUCAUCGCAGUGGGCGGAGCUCCAGAGUCUCUGGACGCUCGACCCGGAGCUUUGACGCUGCAGGUGCAAAAACGGAAGGGCUUCAUCAAACUGGCUCUGAGACAUGGGGCUCAGCUGGUUCCAGUUUUUUCUUUUGGAGAAAACGAGUUGUUUGAUCAAAUAAAGAAUCCUUCAGGUUCCAAUCUGAGGACGCUACAGGUCUGGUGUCGAGCUCUAAGUCCAGCCUGUCUCACCUUGUGAGUCGUCCUGAAGGAGGACAUGUUGCUGUCAUCGCAGUGGGCGGAGCUCCAGAGUCUCUGGACGCUCGACCCGGAGCUUUGACGCUGCAGGUGC